UAUGCCAGGCACUUCCUAGAAAGGAAAUUAUUGAAGUUCUGGAUAUACUGCCUAGGUGGUUUGUUUUACAAUUUUGUAAAUCGAACACAACAUCUCUGUUAAAGGUGCUGGAAUUUCUUUAUGACCUUUUUGACAUGUUUAGGGACGAGGGAUACAUGUAUAGAUGCUGGAAUUUUAUUAUCUUGUUGUGAACUUUGUGCUACUGGUGUCCCAGAAGUGUAAGCAUUUCUACACAUAAAAAGAUAUGAUGCAAUAUGUAGAAUAUGCUCAGAAAAACCAGCUUUCGAUCUACUCACCAG